CCCUACCUGAAUGGUUUCUCCUCAUUUGACUCUGGUUCUGCAGACGUACAAUAACCCCAUGGUGCCUUGGGAAGAGGCAGGAGUGGUAAGCCAGGCUUCAGAGCAGAGAGCAGGAUGUAGAGCACACACACAGGUGUCCUCAUCCCACCCUCAGCCCACCUGCUGCUACCUGCUUAUAGGCUGAAGGGAAGGAAGGCUCUGUUACCACUAAUUGACCAUCUUGUCAACCUCUGCUCAGGGGGAGGUGUUUGCAGGCUCAGUAACAGCUGUAAGAGGGGAAAUGGCCUUUCUCUCUCCAUCAGUUCUCAGCAGCUGCAAGAGGGAUCUCAUUGGAUUUUUCACCUUUAUUAAGCAUCACUUGGGGAGCAUCUGGUGUGUUCUCCACAUGGGACAGUCACGUGGCUUGGACCUGACUUCAGGAUGGAGACUGCAAGGAUCUCUCACUCUUCCCCAGUGGCUUGGAGCAAAAGCCAACAUGGUUAGGAGGUGACUCCAGCGUGACGGGAGGUUUGCCACCCCAGUGCCCUCUGAAGACAUGUAAGCAAGAGACAACACUGCCUCCUGAGCAUCAAGCAACUACUGAUGUUCCUUCAGCAAAGACGCCUGCCUCAAAGGUUGGUGAUGCAAAUGGGGUUUGGAAUGGUCUGUAACUGGCUACUGCUAAUCAAAGCAGAUUGCUGUUAGCUUAAACAGACUCUGACGCUUCCUGAAAAAUGUGUCCAUCUGUCUGCAAAGAGGUUCAAAGUAUGCUAGCGAGGAGAGCUGGCUUGAAAAACACUGUUGUCUCUCUGAACAUAAUUAUACUCUCAUUUCUCUGUUUUCAUGUGUUGUAAUACAGUGAACUUUAAGGAAUUUCAUGGAGACUGAGUUAGUAAAAUCCCAUCCAUCAGACUGAAGGAGUGUGGGCACAGGCAGGACACCCUGCCAUGUAUGAUGCCUCUGCUUGCCAAAAUAGUUUUUGCUUCCAGUGGGAAAAAGCCAGGUUUCCUUGUGGGACAAACAGCCUGUUUCAGUCACGACCUCUGGCCCAGAAACAGUCUUAAUGGUUCUUCUGUGUGGUAUUCAUCAUUACUAAAUAGCUGGCUUGAAAUGUAACUAAUUUCUUUCAUAAAAGUUACUGUAAGCUUGGUCCCUUCUGAACUAAAGCAGUUUUGAGCUAAACUGAAACAUGGGAAAACAGAGGAAAGCAAGAUGGUGAAAAAGCACACAUUUCAAAGGGAAGGUCUGCAGGUGUAAUUACCCUAUUGAUAAUUAUACUUCUCAGCCUGUUGCAAUGCACUCAAAACCACAGAUGACGGGGUGAAGGGAAGUGAACUAAGUCUAGACAGCAAGGGAUCUUUUAAGGGCAACUCAAAUGUGAGUUACGUUAAAGCAAGGUCUCUUAAAGGUGGGGAAUAUACUCCUGAUGUGCACAGGACAGGCCAAAGGAUUUGAAGGUGGGAAUGUGAUGUAAGGCUUUUGUUUGCAAGACUUUGAUAGGAGUGUGGGUC
rnacentral:lncRNA from 1 species